GUUGUGAGGUUAAGUGACUAAGCGUACACGGUGGAUGCCUAGGCAGUCAGAGGCGAUGAAGGGCGUGCUAAUCUGCGAAAAGCGUCGGUAAGGUGAUAUGAACCGUUACAACCGGCGAUACCCGAAUGGGGAAACCCAGUGUGUUUCGACACACUAUCAUGUCAUGAAUACAUAGUGGCAUGAGGCGAACCGGGGGAACUGAAACAUCUAAGUACCCCGAGGAAAAGAAAUCAACCGAGAUUCCCCCAGUAGCGGCGAGCGAACGGGGAGGAGCCCAGAACCUGAAUCGGCUUGUGUGUUAGUGGA
rnacentral:rRNA from 1 species